UACAGAGGUCCCAAGCGUUAUUCGGAUUCACUGGGCGUAAAGGGUGCGUAGGCGGUCGGGUAAGUCUGACGUGAAAUCUUCAAGCUCAACUUGGAAACUGCGUCCGAUACUAUUCGGCUAGAGGAAUGGAGGGGAGACUGGAAUACUUGGUGUAGCAGUGAAAUGCGUAGAUAUCAAGUGGAACACCAGUGGCGAAGGCGAGUCUCUGGACAUUUCCUGACGCUGAGGCACGAAAGCCAGGGGAGCAAACGGG
rnacentral:rRNA from 1 species